GACGAACGCUGGCGGCGUGCUUAACACAUGCAAGUCGAACGGAAAGGCCCUGCUUUUGUGGGGUGCUCGAGUGGCGAACGGGUGAGUAACACGUGAGUAACCUGCCCUUGACUUUGGGAUAACUUCAGGAAACUGGGGCUAAUACCGGAUAGGAGCUCCUGCUGCAUGGUGGGGGUUGGAAAGUUUCGGCGGUUGAGGAUGGACUCGCGGCUUAUCAGCUGGUUGGUGGGGUAGUGGCUUACCAAGGCUUUGACGGGUAGCCGGCCUGAGAGGGUGACCGGCGACAUUGGGACUGAGAUACGGCGCAGACUCCUACGGGAGGCAGCAGUGGGGAAUAUUGCACAAUGGGCGGAAGCCUGAUGCAGCAACGCCGCGUGCGGGAUGACGGCCUUCGGGUUGUAAACCGCUUUCGCCUGUGACGAAGCGUGAGUGACGGUAAUGGGUAAAGAAGCACCGGCUAACUACGUG
rnacentral:rRNA from 1 species